CAAAAUGCCGUGUUUGAAGGUUCUUUUCGCUGUCAGCGUGCUCGUCUGCUGUACAUUUUUUUCGGCUGAGGGUCAAAAUAUCUCAGUGGUGGAUCCGUCCGUCUAUCCAUAUUUGGUGAAGUUGAAUUUACUGCGCGAAGCGGAAUUUUUUAUAACUGACACUGAAGUUGGCUUGUUGGUCAGCAGCAAGUAUAUCCUCGCCUCAAAUAGCGUAAUGGACAUGAAGCCAUCGGACAUCACAAUUAUAGACCAGUUGGGCAACUUUCAACACGCAGCUAUAGUGACCGGGAUUGUAAACAAUAAAUUUUUCUAUUUGAAAGUUUGUAUAAAGAUAGAAAGAGAAAAAUACUCGUUCAAUGAGUCAAAAUUCAGUGAACUCUCCGCUGACUCUUCAAACGCAGAGCUACUAUAUUUUGAUUACUUGUCGCGUGUCUUGAAGAGAUUUUCCGUUACAGUAAUGAGCAAAGACAACUGCACCGCCUCUUUCAGUCAGUCGAUCAGCGACACAGAUAUUUGCAUGUACAAUCUAGAAAACACAUUUACUCAAGCUUGCACGUUUAUAUCUGAUGAGCUGAGCGAUAGUUUUAAUCGAUAUCCAGUGAUCGCAAUCAAUGGACAUGUGCAUGGCUUUCUCCAUUUUCUUAGUUGUGAAUUUUCGACCUUCGAGAGCUAUGAUGACUGGACGUUCACAAACCUCGCCCACUUCCGCGCAAAUAUCAUUGCUGAGCUCCCAGCGGUGGAUAAUGUUUGAUAUGAAGUUUACAUUAAUGGAAAUUAAAAACAAACCCAGAAUGUAA